rnacentral:rRNA from 1 species
UACGUAGGGUGCGAGCGUUAAUCGGAAUUACUGGGCGUAAAGCGUGCGCAGGCGGUGAUGUGAGACAGGUGUGAAAUCCCCGGGCUUAACCUGGGAACUGCAUUUGUGACUGCAUCGCUGGAGUGCGGCAGAGGGGGAUGGAAUUCCGCGUGUAGCAGUGAAAUGCGUAGAUAUGCGGAGGAACACCGAUGGCGAAGGCAAUCCCCUGGGCCUGCACUGACGCUCAUGCACGAAAGCGUGGGGAGCAAACAGG